CAGCCGCCGCGGUAAUACCGGCGGCCCGAGUGGCGGUCACUAUUAUUUGGCUUAAAGCGUCCGUAGCCGGGUUGGGAAGUCCUCCGGGAAAUCUGGCCGCUUAACGGUCAGAAUGCCGGAGGAUACUCCCAGCCUAGGGAGCGGGAGAGGCCGAGGGUAUUCCCGGAGUUGGGGUGAAAUCCUAUAAUCCCGGGAGGACCACCUGUGGCGAAGGCGCUCGGCUGGAACGCGUCCGACGGUGAGGGACGAAGGCCAGGGGAGCAAACCGGAUUAGAUACCCGGGUAGUCCUGGCUGUAAACGAUGCGGACUUUGUGUCGGACAAGCUAUGAGCUUGUCCGGUGCCGGAGGGAAACCGUUAAGUCCGCCGCCUGGGGAGUACGGCCGCAAGGCUGAAACUUAAAGGAAUUGGCGGG
rnacentral:rRNA from 1 species